UACGGAAGGCAGCAGUGGGGAAUAUUGCACAAUGGGCGAAAGCCUGAUGCAGCUAUGCCGCGUGUAUGAAGAAGGCCUUAGGGUUGUAAAGUACUUUCAUCGGGGAGGAAAAACAAAACUAAUAAUUUUAUUUCUUGACGUUACCCGAAAAAGAAGCACCGGCUAACUCCGUGCCAGCAGCCGCGGUAAUACGGAGGGUGCUAGCGUUAAUCAGAAUUACUGGGCGUAAAGAGCACGUAGGUGGUUUUUUUAAGUCAGAUGUGAAAUCCCGUGGGCUUAACCUAGGAACUGCAUUUUGAAACUGAAAUACUAGAGUAUCGUAGAGGGAGGUAGAAUUCUAGGUGUAGCGGUGAAAUGCGUAGAUAUCUGGAGGAAUACCUGUGGCGAAAGCGGCCUCCUAAACGAAUACUGACACUGAGGUGCGAAAGCGUGGGGAGCAAACAGGGAUUAGAUACC
rnacentral:rRNA from 1 species